GUGUCAGCAGCCGCGGUAAAACGUAGGACGCGAGCGUUAUCCGGAGUUACUGGGCGUAAAGGGCAGGUAGGCGGACAGGCAAGCGGUGUGUGAAAUCUCUCUGGCUUAACCGGGAGGGUGCACAGCGGACUGCUUGACUAGAGGGCAGCAGAGGAGCAUGGAAUUCCGGGUGGAGUAGUGAAAUGCGUAGAGAUCCGGAGGAACGCCAGAGGCGAAAGCGGUGCUCUGGGCUGCACCUGACGCUGAACUGCGAAAGCCAGGGGAGCGAACGGGAUUAGAAACCCGUGUAGUCC
rnacentral:rRNA from 1 species